UUGGAAGAAUGUAUGGCGAAAGCUGGUUGUAUUAAGUAUAAUGCAGCAUCGACUCUGUCGAAUAAAGUUCUAGAUAAAAUUUGAUAAUGACAUAAUCUAUCUAUGUGUCUUGACCAAAUCUCGUGCCAGCAGUCGCGGUAAUACGUGGAAGACUAGUGUUAUUCAUCUUUAAUAGGUUUAAAGGGUACUUAGACGGUAUAUUCAGCCCAAGUAAAAAAAAAGGGUACUGAUUAAACUAGAGUUUUAUGGGAGGGGGGUGCGUACUAAUGGAGUAGAGAUGAAAUUCUAUCAUACCAAUAGGAACAGGCAGCGGCGAAAGCAACCUUUUAUGUAAAAACUGACGUUGAAGAACGAAGGCUCAAGACACCAACAGGAUUAGAUACCCCAGCAGUCUGAGCAGACAACGAUGAAUGUCAUAGAUUAGAAAUAGCUAUUUUUUCUCUAUAAAUGAAAGUGUAAGCAUUCUACCUCAAGAGUAAUGUGGCAACGCAGAAACUGAAAUCAUUAGACCGUUUCUGAAAUCAGUAGUGGAGUAUGUUGUUUAAUUUGAUAGUCCUCAAAAAACCUUACCACAAUUUGAAUAUUUACCAAAUAUACAAGAGUUGCACGGCUGUCUUCAGUUAAUGUCGUGAGAUUUUGGUUAGUUCCAUUAAUUAACGUAAACCCUUACUUUUUUUUUAUAUGAAGUAGUUCACCGCUAUAUUGGAUAUGAUAAGAGGGACUAAGACAAGUCAUCAUGGCCCGAACAUUGUGGGCUAUAGACGUGCCACAUCUGCCUAAACAAAGGGAUGCGAAAUUGUGAAAUUAG
rnacentral:rRNA from 1 species